CCCGCCGGCGACCGGCGCACGGGUGAGUAACACGUAUGAAACCUGCCCGUAGCAGGGGGAUAAGCGGAAGAAAUUCCGUCUAAUACCGCGUAACAACCCAUGAAGGCAUCUCUGUGGGUUUAAAGGAAGCGAUUCCGGCUACGGAUGGUCAUGCGUCGCAUUAGCUUGUUGGCGGGGUAACGGCCCACCAAGGCGACGAUGCGUAGGGGUUCUGAGAGGAAGGUCCCCCACACUGGUACUGAGACACGGACCAGACUCCUACGGGAGGCAGCAG
rnacentral:rRNA from 1 species